rnacentral:rRNA from 1 species
CGGAGGGUGCGAGCGUUAAUCGGAAUUACUGGGCGUAAAGCGCGCGUAGGCGGUUUGGUAAGUCGGAUGUGAAAGCCCAGGGCUUAACCUUGGAACUGCAUUCGAUACUGCCUGACUAGAGUAUGGUAGAGGGAGGUAGAAUUCCACGUGUAGCGGUGAAAUGCGUAGAGAUGUGGAGGAAUACCGGUGGCGAAGGCGGCCUCCUGGACCAAUACUGACGCUGAGGUGCGAAGGCGUGGGGAGCGAACAGGAUUAGAUACCCUGGUAGUCCACGCGGUAAACGAUGUCAACUAGCCGUUGGGGAUCUUGUUAUUCUUAGUGGCGCAGCUAACGCGAUAAGUUGACCGCCUGGGGAGUACGGUCGCAAGAUUAAAACUCAAAUGAAUUGACGGGGGCCCGCACAAGCGGUGGAGCAUGUGGUUUAAUUCGACGCAACGCGAAAAACCUUACCUGGCCUUGACAUCCCCGGAACCUGCCAGAGAUGGCGGGGUGCCUUCGGGAACCGGGUGACAGGUGCUGCAUGGCUGUCGUCAGCUCGUGUCGUGAGAUGUUGGGUUAAGUCCCGUAACGAGCGCAACCCUUGUCCUUAUUUGCCAGCAACUCGGUUGGGCACUCUAGGGAGACUGCCGGUGACAAGCCGGAGGAAGGUGGGGACGACGUCAAGUCAUCAUGGCCCUUACGGCCAGGGCUACACACGUGCUACAAUGGGGCGUACAAAGGGCUGCAAGCCUGCGAAGGUAAGCUAAUCCUCAAAACGUCUCGUAGUCCGGAUCGCAGUCUGCAACUCGACUGCGUGAAGUCGGAAUCGCUAGUAAUCGUAGAUCAGCAUGCUACGGUGAAUACGUUCCCGGGCCUUG